rnacentral:lncRNA from 1 species
CCCCUCCACAACAACAGGUCGGCACCACACCGCUACAACUGGUUGUUUUAGAGCCUUACCUCUACAAAAACAAAUACUGAUAUUUCCCCUCCACAACAACAGGUCGGCACCACACUGCUACAACUGGUUGUUUUAGAGCCUUACCUUUACAAAAACAAAUACUGAUAUCUCCCCUCCA